rnacentral:rRNA from 1 species
UCCGGUGGCCAUGGCGGCAGGGUCACACCCGUUCCCAUUCCGAACACGGAAGUUAAGACUGCCAGCGCCGAUGGUACUUGGGGGGCAACCCCCUGGGAGAGUAGGACGCCGCCGGAU